rnacentral:rRNA from 1 species
GACGAACGCUGGCGGCGUGCUUAACACAUGCAAGUCGAACGGAAAGGCCCUGCUUUUGUGGGGUGCUCGAGUGGCGAACGGGUGAGUAACACGUGAGUAACCUGCCCUUGACUUUGGGAUAACUUCAGGAAACUGGGGCUAAUACCGGAUAGGAGCUCCUGCUGCAUGGUGGGGGUUGGAAAGUUUCGGCGGUUGGGGAUGGACUCGCGGCUUAUCAGCUUGUUGGUGGGGUAGUGGCUUACCAAGGCUUUGACGGGUAGCCGGCCUGAGAGGGUGACCGGCCACAUUGCGACUGAGAUACGGCCCAGACUCCUACGGGAGGCAGCAGUGCGGAAUAUUGCACAAUGGGCGGAAGCCUUAUGCAGCAACGCCGCGUGCGGGAUGACGGCCUUCGGGUUGUAAACCGCUUUCGCCUGUGACGAAGCGUGAGUGACGGUAAUGGGUAAAGAAGCACCGGCUAACUACGUG